GAAAAAAAAAAUCCACUAUUCCUUGUAAAUUCCCGCUGUCAAAUUGAACCAUAUGAAUUUGAUGGAAGGUAACUGUUACGUGUGAUUGAUGCUUUCGUACAUCCCCAUUACAACUCUAGGUCCUCCAGCGCUCUGGACCUUCUUAUCAUAGCAGAGGCUAACAGUCCUCUUCAGUACCCUACUCAGGGACUGGAGGUACGACCCCUCAAGACUAUCAUCAUCCCUGGGCUGGGUCUGAAGGAACUGCCUAAAGACAUAUACAUGGUGAAUUUGACUGCCACCAUGGGUACGUUUGAUGUGGCUGCCACAGUGGAUGCAGUUUUCAUCACAGGGGCGGGGCAAAUGCACAUAAGCAUGUCCAGUAGACAUCUUCCGAAUUUGAACCGACAGCUUCAGUUUGUCACCUACACAAACACUGUGUUCCACCCCAGGACAGCAGACAUACUUCAGAUGGAAACCCAUGGACACCACUCAGUCUUUACAAUCACUGUUGGACAUGUCAUCACCCCAAAACUCGUGAAACCAGCCUUCAAAGAAGAAGGUGUGUUAUACAGUUGUUUGUCUGAAAUUAAACAGGGUCAAAAUAAAUGUUUCGUUUUUAGAGUGGAA